rnacentral:rRNA from 1 species
GAUGAACGCUGGCGGCGUGCCUAAUACAUGCAAGUAGAACGCUGAAGGAGGAGCUUGCUCUUUCCGGAUGAGUUGCGAACGGGUGAGUAACGCGUAGGUAACCUGCCUGGUAGCGGGGGAUAACUAUUGGAAACGAUAGCUAAUACCGCAUAACAGUAGAUAUUGCAUGAUAUUUGCUUGAAAGGGGCAAUUGCUCCACUACCAGAUGGACCUGCGUUGUAUUAGCUAGUUGGUGAGGUAACGGCUCACCAAGGCGACGAUACAUAGCCGACCUGAGAGGGUGAUCGGCCACACUGGGACUGAGACACGGCCCAGACUCCUACGGGAGGCAGCAGUAGGGAAUCUUCGGCAAUGGACGGAAGUCUGACCGAGCAACGCCGCGUGAGUGAAGAAGGUUUUCGGAUCGUAAAGCUCUGUUGUAAGGGAAGAACGAGUGUGAGAGUGGAAAGUUCACACUGUGACGGUAUCUGACCAGAAAGGGACGGCUAACUACGUG